CCUACGGGAGGCAGCAGUGGGGAAUAUUGGGCAAUGGGCGCAAGCCUGACCCAGCAACGCCGCGUGAAGGAAGAAGGCUUUCGGGUUGUAAACUUCUUUUGUCAGGGAAGAGUAGAAGACGGUACCUGACGAAUAAGCUACGGCUAACUACGUGCCAGCAGCCGCGGUAAUACGUAGGUGGCAAGCGUUGUCCGGAUUUACUGGGUGUAAAGGGCGUGUAGCCGGGUUGACAAGUCAGAUGUGAAAUCCUGCGGCUUAACCGCAGAACUGCAUUUGAAACUGUUGAUCUUGAGUACUGGAGAGACAGAUGGAAGUCCAAGUGUAGCGGUGAAAUGCGUAGAUAUUAGGAGGAACACCAGUGGCGAAGGCGGUCUGCUGGACAGCAACUGACGGUGAGGCGCGAAAGCGUGGGGAGCAAACAGGAUUAGAUACCCUUGUAGUC
rnacentral:rRNA from 1 species